GGUUAAGCGACUAAGCGUACACGGUGGAUGCCCUGGCAGUCAGAGGCGAUGAAGGACGUGCUAAUCUGCGAAAAGCGCCGGCGAGGUGAUAUGAACCUUUGACCCGGCGAUGUCCGAAUGGGGAAACCCAGUGUGAUUCGUCACACUAUCGUUAACUGAAUACAUAGGUUAACGAGGCGAACCGGGGGAACUGAAACAUCUAAGUACCCCGAGGAAAAGAAAUCAACCGAGAUUCCCCCAGUAGCGGCGAGCGAACGGGGAGCAGCCCAGAGUCUGAAUCAGCUUGUGUGUUAGUGGAAGCGUCUGGAAAGUCGCACGGUACAGGGUGACAGUCCCGUACACGAAAAUGCACAGGUUGUGAACUCGAAGAGUAGGGCGGGACACGUGGUAUCCUGUCUGAAUAUGGGGGGACCAUCCUCCAAGGCUAAAUACUCCUGACUGACCGAUAGUGAACCAGUACCGUGAGGGAAAGGCGAAAAGAACCCCGGCGAGGGGAGUGAAAAAGAACCUGAAACCGUGUACGUACAAGCAGUGGGAGCACCUUCGUGGUGUGACUGCGUACCUUUUGUAUAAUGGGUCAGCGACUUAUAUUCUGUAGCAAGGUUAACCGUAUAGGGGAGCCGAAGGGAAACCGAGUCUUAACUGGGCGUUAAGUUGCAGGGUAUAGACCCGAAACCCGGUGAUCUAGCCAUGGGCAGGUUGAAGGUUGGGUAACACUAACUGGAGGACCGAACCGACUAAUGUUGAAAAAUUAGCGGAUGACUUGUGGCUGGGGGUGAAAGGCCAAUCAAACCGGGAGAUAGCUGGUUCUCCCCGAAAGCUAUUUAGGUAGCGCCUCGUGAACUCAUCUUCGGGGGUAGAGCACUGUUUCGGCUAGGGGGCCAUCCCGGCUUACCAACCCGAUGCAAACUACGAAUACCGAAGAAUGUUAUCACGGGAGACACACGGCGGGUGCUAACGUCCGUCGUGAAGAGGGAAACAACCCAGACCGCCAGCUAAGGUCCCAAAGUCAUGGUUAAGUGGGAAACGAUGUGGGAAGGCACAGACAGCCAGGAUGUUGGCUUAGAAGCAGCCAUCAUUUAAAGAAAGCGUAAUAGCUCACUGGUCGAGUCGGCCUGCGCGGAAGAUGUAACGUGCUGGAGGUAUCAGAAGUGCGAAUGCUGACAUAAGUAACGAUAAAGCGGGUGAAAAGCCCGCUCGCCGGAAGACCAAGGGUUCCUGUCCAACGUUAAUCGGGGCAGGGUGAGUCGACCCCUAAGGCGAGGCCGAAAGGCGUAGUCGAUGGGAAACAGGUUAAUAUUCCUGUACUUGGUGUUACUGCGAAGGGGGGACGGAGAAGGCUAUGUUAGCCGGGCGACGGUUGUCCCGGUUUAAGCAUGUAGGCGGAACGAUUAGGUAAAUCCGGUCGUUUUUUAACGCUGAGGUGUGAUGACGAGGCACUACGGUGCUGAAGUAACAAAUGCCCUGCUUCCAGGAAAAGCCUCUAAGCAUCAGGUAACAUUAAAUCGUACCCCAAACCGACACAGGUGGUCAGGUAGAGAAUACCAAGGCGCUUGAGAGAACUCGGGUGAAGGAACUAGGCAAAAUGGUGCCGUAACUUCGGGAGAAGGCACGCUGAUAUGUAGGUGAAGCCCCUGCGGGUGGAGCUGAAAUCAGUCGAAGAUACCAGCUGGCUGCAACUGUUUAUUAAAAACACAGCACUGUGCAAACACGAAAGUGGACGUAUACGGUGUGACGCCUGCCCGGUGCCGGAAGGUUAAUUGAUGGGGUUAGCGGCAACGCGAAGCUCUUGAUCGAAGCCCCGGUAAACGGCGGCCGUAACUAUAACGGUCCUAAGGUAGCGAAAUUCCUUGUCGGGUAAGUUCCGACCUGCACGAAUGGCGUAAUGAUGGCCAGGCUGUCUCCACCCGAGACUCAGUGAAAUUGAACUCGCUGUGAAGAUGCAGUGUACCCGCGGCAAGACGGAAAGACCCCGUGAACCUUUACUAUAGCUUGACACUGAACACUGGUCCUUGAUGUGUAGGAUAGGUGGGAGGCUUUGAAGCGUGGACGCCAGUCUGCGUGGAGCCGUCCUUGAAAUACCACCCUUUAAUGGCUGGUGUUCUAACGUAGACCCGUAAUCCGGGUUGCGGACAGUGUCUGGUGGGUAGUUUGACUGGGGCGGUCUCCUCCCAAAGAGUAACGGAGGAGCACGAAGGUUAGCUAAUCCUGGUCGGACAUCAGGAGGUUAGUGCAAUGGCAUAAGCUAGCUUGACUGCGAGAGUGACGGCUCGAGCAGGUGCGAAAGCAGGUCAUAGUGAUCCGGUGGUUCUGAAUGGAAGGGCCAUCGCUCAACGGAUAAAAGGUACUCCGGGGAUAACAGGCUGAUACCGCCCAAGAGUUCAUAUCGACGGCGGUGUUUGGCACCUCGAUGUCGGCUCAUCACAUCCUGGGGCUGAAGUAGGUCCCAAGGGUAUGGCUGUUCGCCAUUUAAAGUGGUACGCGAGCUGGGUUUAGAACGUCGUGAGACAGUUCGGUCCCUAUCUGCCGUGGGCGCUGGAGAAUUGAGGGGGGCUGCUCCUAGUACGAGAGGACCGGAGUGGACGCAUCACUGGUGUUCGGGUUGUCAUGCCAAUGGCACUGCCCGGUAGCUAAAUGCGGAAAAGAUAAGUGCUGAAAGCAUCUAAGCACGAAACUUGCCCCGAGAUGAGUUCUCCCUGAGACUUUAAGUCUCCUGAAGGAACGUUGAAGACGACGACGUUGAUAGGUCGGGUGUGUAAGCGCAGCGAUGCGUUGAGCUAACCGAUACUAAUGAACCGUGAGGCUUAACCUU
rnacentral:rRNA from 1 species